CGCCACGCCCCCCUCCCCGCGCGAAGACGCCUCGCGCCGCCGGCCUCGCUGAUUGGCCGAAGCUUCCCCAGCCGGGAUCCGCGCGAAAGAGGCUUACCCGAGGAGAUGUGUGCCAGAUGAGACUGAUGCAUUGCACAUUGUUGACAAAAUGGAGGAUGAGGAGACUUCAGAUGGGCCGGGUGAAAUUUCCGCAUGGGACAAUAGUGCAAACUCAGAAUAGGAAUGGGUCUGAUGAUUAAAGAAGAGGGAUGAGACGAUGGCACGGAAGACAGACAGCAAAACACAGAAAGGGGACGGAAAUACGAAACAUCUACAACAAUGCAAAAAUCUAUGCAACUAGCAGCCAAGAACGUCACAAGUGGGAAACUUUUUAUGACAUAGGGAAUUCUGAAGAAACAUCUGUUCUCCUCUUCCUGAAAGAGUUCUAUGAAUAUUUCUUGCCUAAUAGACUUACUCACUUAGUGGCAUGACCUCUUUGGCAGUACUCAGAACUGCCCAUCUAAUAUUGAGAAAUGCACAAGACUAAUCAAGACUCAAGUCUAAGUGCACGUCUCAAACAGGAGAAUCACAGGAUUCUCUGCGGUUUAACUUAAGAAAUUUGCGAGUCCUUGCACAGUUCUGACAGUUUUCCAUUUACCCAUUGCUGUAACCAAGUUCCUUCCACAUGUGUGCUUGAAGCAUACAAAUUGAUUCCUAAUAUAUAUUUUGGUUAUGAAAUAUGGAAAGAACAGACAGUGAGUUCUGGGUUAGAUGCCAUCUCUUCAUGAUGCUCUGCAACACUUAUCAGCAAUAAGCACUUCAUAAAGGCAUCACACUUAUUCAUCCUGGCCCUGCACUGGUCAUAAACUAGGUCCGUUUUAGGCAGGAUGUGAGAGACUUCAUGACUUUGAUCAGGGACUUCCCAGGAGCACCUCUACCAUUAAGAAUACUUUCUCCCCAAGAAGGCCCGCCAAACCACUUCCUUAGGGAUGCAGGAGAUGACAUGCAGGAUGUCCCUUGGGUUUUUGUUUGAUUUAAAGUUAGUAGCAGCUAUAAAACCAUGAUGCUAGAAAAAGGUUAUUUUGAAGACUUUCUGUUUUGCACCAUUUUCCCAAUUAAAAAUGUCCCUUCCUCUUGCAUUGUUAAUUUUCCUCCUAUUGAAACCAAUGGGAGGGUGUUUUUUGUUUAAAGAAAGGAUUAAAUAAGUUUUUAAAAAAUAGGAAUGAGGAGGAAAGCUGCUUCCUCUACCUUCUAAUCUGGUGGCACAAUUUCACCAGGGCCAUAGGAGCCAACUCCUAGAGGCUGAGAGGUCUUUGUGCCCCCC